rnacentral:tRNA from 1 species
UGGCGGUAUAGCUUAGUUGGCUAGAGCGUUCGGUUCAUACCCGAAAGGUCACAGGUUCGAGUCCCGUUACCGCUACCAA